GGGGAGAAAUUUGUCCCGGACACCUGGAUAAUUCUCUACUCUUAUCGAGAAAUGCCCGGGGAUCUUUAAUGACCACUGAGAGCCAGGACCUCGGUUUAACGUCUCACCCGAAAGACGGCACCUUGGCUGCUGCUGAUGGAUCACGUAACAAGGACAUGGAAGUCAGAAUUCCAGAGAGGAAAUGUUUGUGCAUGUCUUGUUCGUCAGUUCUUCAUCAUCACUUACCCUUUCAUGCUCUUUAACUUGCAUAUUUUUCCAUCCUUUACAUUUCCUAAAUAACAAAUACUUCCACAUUUUCAAACCUAAA